rnacentral:rRNA from 1 species
CCCCCGGGCGCAGGUCCGGCUGGGGAGCGGAACGGCAUGGGAGGGCCGGCCGCAGCGGGUGACAGCCCCGUACGCGAACCCAGACCGGACGGCGCGACGCGGUCCCUGAGUAGGGCCGGGCACGUGAAACCCGGUCCGAACCUGGGUGGACCACCAUCCAAGCCUGAGUACUACCCUGUGACCGAUAGCGCACCAGUACCGUGAGGGAAAGGUGAAAAGCACCCCGGGAGGGGAGUGAAACAGUACCUGAAACCGUGCGCCCACGAGCAGUCGGAGCACCCUUCGGGGUGUGACGGCGUGCCUUUUGUAGAAUGAGCCAGCGAGUCGCUGGCGCGGGGCGAGGUUAACCGAAAGGGAGCCGGAGCGAAAGCGAGCCUUAACAGGGCGACUUGAGUCCCGCGCCGCGGACGCGAAGCCGGGUGAGCUAUCCGUGGGCAGGCUGAAGCGGGGGUAAGACCCCGUGGAGGGCCGAACGCACGUCGGUUGAAAACGGCGGCGAUGACCUGCGGAUAGGGGUGAAAGGCCAAUCAAACCCGGAGAUAUCUCGUUCUCCCCGAAAUAGCUUUAGGGCUAGCGUCGCGCGUUCACCGCCGGAGGUAGAGCACCGGAUGGACGAGGGGGCUUCGCCGCCUACCGAAUCCAACCGAACUCCGAAUGCCGGCGGCCCAGAGCGCGGCAGUCAGAGCAUGUGGGCUAAGCUGUGUGCUCGAGAGGGAAACAGCCCGGACCGCCCGCUAAGGUCCCCAAGUUCCAGCCGAGUGGCAAAGGAUGUGCGUCCGCCCAGACAACCAGGAUGUUGGCUUAGAAGCAGCCAUACAUUCAAAGAGUGCGUAACAGCUCACUGGUCGAGUGGACAUGCGCCGACAAUACACGGGGCUAAGCUGGACACCGAAGCGGCGGGAUUUUAAUUCAUUAGAAUCGGUAGGGGAGCUUCCCAUGGGCGGAGAAGCCGGAGGGCGACCGACGGUGGAGCGCAUGGGAGUGAGAAUGCUGGCAUGAGUAGCGAGAGACGAGAGAGUAACUCGUCCGCCGUGAACCCGAGGUUUCCUGGGCAAGGCUAAUCCUCCCAGGGUCAGUCGGGGGCUAAGGCGAGGCCGGAAGGCGUAGCCGACGCGCAGCAGGCAGACAUUCCUGCACCGCGCACGCGGCGCUACGACCGACGGGGCGACGGAUGGGGGUGGCUCGGCGGGGUUCUGGACGUCCCCGUGAUGGAGCGCGGCCCGCGGACCAGGGAAAUCCGGUCCGCACGAGGGCGAGGCUCCGGACGAAGCACUUAAGCGAAGCGAGUGAGCCCGAGGUCCCUAGAAAAACCCCUAGGCAGGCGCGUGCGCGCCCGUACCGCAAACCGACACAGGUGGGUGGGUAGAACAUACCGAGGCGAUCGGGUCAACCAUGGUCAAGGAACUCGGCACAAUGGCCCCGUAACUUCGGGAGAAGGGGUGCCCGCGCGUACGUGAACGGACUUGCUCCGGGAGCGGAGGCGGGCCGCAGUGGAGAGGCCCAAGCGACUGUUUACCAAAAACACAGGACUCUGCAGAAGCCGCAAGGCGACGUAUAGGGUCUGACGCCUGCCCGGUGCCGGAAGGUCACGCGGAGGAGUUAGCGCAUCGCGCGAAGCCCCGAAGCCAAGCCCCGGUAAACGGCGGCCGUAACUAUAACGGUCCUAAGGUAGCGAAAUUCCUUGUCGGGUAAGUUCCGACCUGCACGAAAGGCGCAACGACUUGGGCGCUGUCUCGACCAUGGACCCGGUGAAAUUGCACUGGUCGUGAAGAUGCGACUUACCCGCGGAAGGACGGAAAGACCCCGUGAACCUUCACUGCAGCUUGGCAUUGGCCGCUGGUCCCGCGUGUAGAGGAUAGGCAGGAGGCAUCGAUCCGGAGGCGCCAGCCCCCGGGGAGCCGCCCUUGGAAUACUGCCCUCGCGCGACCGGCGUCCUAACCCGAGGCCGUCAACCGGCUCGGGGACCGUGCCAGGCGGGCAGUUUGACUGGGGCGGUCGCCUCCUAAAGGGUAACGGAGGCGCGCGAAGGUCCGCUCGGGACGGUCGGCAACCGUCCUUUUGAAUGCAAGAGUACAAGCGGGCUUGACUGCGAGGCCCACAAGCCGAGCAGGUGCGAAAGCAGGCUCUAGUGAUCCGGCGGCCCCGAGUGGGUGGGCCGUCGCUCAACGGAUAAAAGGUACUCCGGGGAUAACAGGCUGAUCUUGCCCAAGAGUCCACAUCGACGGCAAGGUUUGGCACCUCGAUGUCGGCUCAUCGCAUCCUGGGGCUGAAGUCGGUCCCAAGGGUUGGGCUGUUCGCCCAUUAAAGCGGUACGCGAGCUGGGUUCAGAACGU